GGUUUUGGAUGGCAGAGGAGAUACCAUGAUCAUAUAGGUGGUUCCCCCAAGGGUGAGGCUCAUCCGUUGUACCUUGGAUGUGCCGACCCAUAUGAUUCCUCCAAAAUCGGGAAACUAGACUACAUGAUUUAUGGUAGUGGGAAACUGCAUUCGUACCUUCCCCGA
rfam:Ornithorhynchus anatinus chromosome 4, whole genome shotgun sequence.